GGAUAAGUGUCCGAGUGGUUAAAGGAGACGGACUGUAAAUCCGUUGGCUCUGCCUACGUUGGUUCAAAUCCAACCUUAUCCACC
rnacentral:tRNA from 1 species